ensembl:lncRNA
UGAAGUCCCCAGCUCUGUCUGUAGAAACUUCAGAUGGCUGGGGGAGCAGGUUGGAGAGAGGACCAAAGGCAGGCCUGUCACGCUGAAGCUCCUAGGGACCAUUUCCUCCCCAUUUCCCCAACUCCUUCUCCACCCCCCGCCAGGCCUGGAGGCACCACCAGCUUCCUAAGGGAUGCAGGAAGGGGCCGGGUGAACUGAGGUGAAGUCCAGGGCAGGGGAGGCAGACCCCUCAACAUCCUGUUUAGGAGUCCUCCUCCACAAAGGGUGCCCUCCGCCUCUCCCUCCUGCUGGUUGGUCGACUCAGAGAUGAAGGGGGAGAGAUCGUGGCUCCAAGGCUCUGCCACUGCCACCUCCCAGGCCUGCCAAUGUGAAUGGCUUGCAGAAUCAGUCAGCAGGCCAGCAGUCUUGGGAAAGAGCCACUGUCCCCGCAGCCUGGGCCAGCUGGGGGAACAAUGUAGGGUUUGUUGCUUCGGGGUCCUAGGCUUGCGGGGGGGGGUUGGCACAUGGUGGGCGGUGGACUUGAGCUGGGAUGCUCUGAGAUGCCACUGACAUGCUUGCUCACCCAAGGGCAGACUUCAGACCAGCCCUCAGAUCCUGAUGCCAGGUUACGGGGAUGAGGGGAGCCUGAAAUCCACUGCGUCUCCCUGCUCCACUUGGGAGUCACCUUCUCAUCACUUAUCCUGGAACCUGAGUGCAAUUACUUAAACCUAGUCUCAGCUUCCUCAUCUGCAAAAUGGGAAUAAUCUGUCCUUCACAGAGGAGUAUGGUCAUUUAAUGAGAUAAGAUACAUAAAGCACUUUGCAUAGUGCCCCAAACCUUUUAUUCCUUCCUCCCCUUUGGGAAUUCAAUUCUCCAGUGUGAUGGAGCAAGCUUGGCCAGGGGAUUCUUAAAUGCAUCCAGGUUUUGGCAUCAAAGGGCCCCAAACAUGACAAAUUACCUAUACUCAUGGUCUGUUCCCUGUUCACCUUUAAUAGGUUGUGUGUGUGUGUGUGUUUUUUUUUUUUUAAGAGUUGGGGGGGUCUUACUAUGUUGCCCAGGCUGGCUUUGAACUCCUGGGCUCAAGCAGUCUUCCUGCCUCAGCCUCCUGAGUAGCUGGGACUACAGUUGUGUACCACCAUGCCUGGCUGAACACUUAUUUUUUGAAACAGGAGCUCACUCUGUCACUCAAGCUGAGUGCUGUGGUGUGAUCAUAGCUCAUUACAGCCUCUGUUUCCUGGGCUCACACAAUUCUCCUGCCUCAGCUUCCUGAGUAGCUGGGACUGCAGGUGUGCACUACCACGCCUGGCUAAUUUUUGAUUACUUGUAGAGAUAGGGUCUCACUAUUUUGUCCAGGCUGGUCUCAAACUCCUGGACUCAAGUGAUUCUCCUACCUUGGGCUCCCAAAGUGCUGGGAUUACAGGUAUGAACCACUGCACCUGGCCCUUGAACAAAUUCUUUAAGUCUUAUUAGUACCUGCUGCAUGCCGGCACUCUGGAAGGAGGAUGCUCGCUUGCUUCCUGGUAACCAGGUGUCUUAUCUCAAACCUCAGUCCUCACUGAGGAUCACAGGAUCUAGAAAGGCACCUCGGCCUGGAAACAGCCCCAGAUGAGUGAGAUUGCUGGUCCUCUCCCAGGAUCCCAGGCCCAGGGCAAACCCAGACAAGCUUGCAGCCAGGAGAGGGCAGGGGACAGAGCCCUGGCCCCCCUUCAACCUCCUUAGCCAGGAGGGCAUGUCCCAUUUUCCUUAGGAGUUGGGAAGUACCCUAGAAUCACUUAGCUUCAGAUGCCAAAUUCCAUCCACAUUCUUUCCUCCAACUCUCCAGCAGUGGGGAACUGCCUCUCCAGGCAGGGCACUGCUCUGACAGGUCUGAUGACUGCCUCCAGGAGGAAGCUCUGGGCACCAAUGAAGGUGAGGGGCUGGGGGGCCCAGGAUGAGGAGUCAAGAUCCCCACUCCCAGGACUAUGGGACAAUUUGGCUCCUUUUUCCUGCAGUGGGAGGGGUGAGAAGGGCUGGGGUGUUCUGCAGGGGCCUGCUCCAUUUUCCAGGGUGAAGGAGAGGCCGAGGGAGGUGGAGCGGGAGGAGGUGGGGCUUACUGUGAAACUGGGUCAAGAUGGCCUCGGAUUUGAGCAGGCAGGGCCACCAGGCUCUGAGGCAGCAGCUGUGAGCAGUGCCGAGGGAGGACCAGUCUGACGGUGAACGGUGAGGUGGUGGGCGGGGGGGCCGACUAGAAUCAGGCAGAGGAGCGAGGGCAGGCCUCCUACCAGGAAACCCAUAGCAUUGGCACUAACUGAGAGGCAGCAAAGGCGGUGACACUCCC